GUUCUCAGCCUACUAAACAGCAGGUAUGAUUGGAUUGGAGGGUAAAGAGUUCACAUUUUAAACUUUAAAAACAGAAAGUAGAGGGAGAAAAAGGCCAGUGAUGGCUUAGCACAAUGGUGAAGAAGUGGGAUUGGUUAGGUUUGGUUCCUGGAUUCAUUACUUGCCUUUCAUUGAAAACUGGGGGAAAAAUGAUGUAUUUUGCUGAGGUUGAUGCACAUAGAUAACUGAAGCAAUUGUUAAAAAAUGAUUUAGAUGCAUCAUUUUGAGUGAUGGUAAAACAUGGAAAUCGGGUAUAAAAUGUGGUAUUCAUUUAAUAUUAUUUUCUUGGGAUAAAAUUUCACUAGUCCAUUCUAUUAGUGGUAGAUGCUAAUUUCUCCUUGUGGAUGUGACAUGUUUAGAUGUUGGGACAUGGGUCAACUUCCACCUGGUAAAGACCUGCCUGCCAAUUUGUCACAUUAGGAGGUGCUGUUGCUAUAGCACCUUGCUUUUGGCCCCUCAUACUCUUAAUAUUAGGACUGGAGAUAGGAGGAGUUUGAGUGGUUAGCUCUGCUUUCCUGCAAAGUAGCUGGGAUGGAA
rnacentral:misc_RNA from 1 species